rnacentral:lncRNA from 1 species
UAGUUCUAGAGAUUUGAUUUCAUUCCAAACCCACCAAAUGACUCCUCCCACAAUAUUAUGAUGUUCCCCAAGUUUUGGACUCAAUCCGAUAUCGAUUGGUCCUUGAAAUCGGACAAUUCAGUUUCGUACGAAGUUCGUUCUGAAAUGGGGUGGUUGGUGUAUUGUAUAGUUCUAGAGAUUUGAUUUCAUUCAAAACCCACCAAAUGACUCCUCCCACAAUAUUAUGAUGUUCCCCAAGUUUUGGACUCAAUCCGAUAUCGAUUAGUACUUGAAAUCGGACAAUUCAGGUUCGUACGAAGUUCGUUCUGAAAUGCGGUGGUUGGUGUAUUGUAUAGUUCUAGAGAUUGGCUUUCACUCAAAAUCCACUCCCACAAUAUUAUGAUGUUCCCCAAGUUUUGGACUCAAUCCGAUAUCGAUUGGGGCUUGAAAUCGGACAUUUCAGGUUCGUACGAAGUUCGUUCCGAAAUGUAGUGGUUGGUGUAUUGUAUAGUUCUAGGGAUUUUAUUUCACUCAAAACCCACCAACUGACUCCUCCCACAAUAUUAUAAUGUUCCCCAAGUUUUGCACUUAAUCCGGUAUCCAUUGGUCCUUGAAAUCGGACAAUUCACGUUCGUACAAAGUUCGUUCUGAAAUGGGGUGGUUGGUGUAUUGUAUAGUACUAGAGAUUGGAUUUCACUCAAAACCCACCAACUGACUCCUCCCACAAUAUUAUGAUGUUCCCCAAGUUUUGGACUCAAUCCGAUAUCGAUUGGUCCUUGAAAUCGGACAAUUCAGGUUCGUACGAAGUUCGUUCUGAAAUGGGGUGGUUGGUGUAUUGUAUAGUUCUAGAGAUUGGAUUUCACUCAAAACCCACCAAAUGACUCCUCCCACAAUAUUAUGAUGUUCCCCAAGUUUUGGACUCAAUCCGAUAUCUAUUGGGGCUUGAAAUCGGACAAUUCAGGUUCGUACGAAGUUCGUUCUGAAAUGGAGUGGUUGGUGUAUUGUAUAGUUGUAGGGAUUAUAUUUCACUCAAAACCCACCAAAUGACUCCUCCCACAAUAUUAUGAUGUUCCCAAGUUUUGGACUCAAUCCGAUAUCGAUUGGGACUUGAAAUCGGACAAUUCAGGUUCGUACCAAGUUCGUUCUGAAAUGGAGUGGUUGGUGUAUAGUGUAGUUCUAGGGAUUGUAUUUCACUCAAAACCCACCAAAUGCCUCCUCCCACAAUAUUAUGUCGUUCCCCAAGUUUUGGACUCAAUCCGAUAUCGAUCAGUCUACGAAAUAUAACAAUUUAGGUUCGUACGAAGUUCGUUCUGAAAUGGAGUGGUUGGUGUAUUGUAUAGUUCUAAAGAUUGGAUUUCACUCAAAACCCACCAAAUGACUCCUCCCACAAUAUUAUGAUGUUCCCCAAGUUUUGAACUCAAUCCGAUAUCGAUUGGUCCUUGAAAUCGGACAAUUCAGGUUCGUACGAAGUUCGUUCGGAAAUGGGGUGGUUGGUGUAUUGUAUUGUACCCACCAAAUGACUCCCCCAAUAUUAUGAUGUUCCCGAAGUUUUGGACUCAAUCCGAUGUCGAUUGGUCCUUGAAAUCGGACAAUUAGGGUUUGUACGAAGUUCGUUCUGAAAUGGAGUGGUUGGUGUAUUGUAUUGUACCCACCAAAUAACUCCUCCCACAAUAUUAUGAUGUUCCCCAAGUUUUGGACUCAAUCCGAUAUCGAUUGGUCCUUGAAAUCGGACAAUUCAGGUUCGUACGAAGUUCGUUCCGAAAUGGGGUGGUUGGUGUAUUGUAUAGUUCUAGAGAUUGGAUUUCAUUCAAAACCCACCAAAUGACUCCUCCCACAAUAUUAUGAUGUUCCCCAAGUUUUGGACUCAAUCCGAUAUCGAUUAGUCCUUGAAAUUGGGCAAUUCAAGUUCGUACGAAGUUCGUUCUGAAAUGGAGUGCUUGGUGUAUUGUAUAGUUCUAGGGAUUGAAUUUCGAUCAAAACCCACCAAAUGACUCCUCC